rnacentral:piRNA from 1 species
UGUCCAUUCAGAACGUUGAGGGCCAGC